rnacentral:lncRNA from 1 species
CCUGCUAUAACCAUGCUUCUGGCCGAGUUUCAUAAUCGAAAGGUCCAAGAAAAGUAGUGAGAGCAGCUUUGCCCUUACAGGAGGUAAAAGACUGAUUGCUGGCAGCUGAAGUUGAGAUGAUUCCCACUACAUGCUCCAAGUUGACUAGUGACAACACAGCUGAGGAUAUUAACUCCAAGAUUGUAACAAGCCAAAAAUUAUUUUUCUUGCAUGAAGAUGUUCCAGUGUUGUGUUGGUAUGGAUUAAAGACUGAUAAAUUAGGACUAAAGACUGUUGUGUAUUUCGCCAGCACCGUCAUUAAAAGAAGACUAAUUAGUGAUUUCUUUGGGAAAGGACAGAAAGGAAAAGGUAUUUAUUCUCCUAUCGCAGUGGCAUUAAGCCUAAUAUCACCUCAGUUGUAUAUAUAAAGAAAUCUCUUUCAAUAAAGAAAGUUUUGGAUUAUUUAAACUGUUGUCUCUGUAUCGAUGAAGUCUAGCCUCAUCGUCCAUCCUUAUCCACAAUCGAAGGCCC